UACAAGUCUCUUGGUGCCCCGCUUGGGCUGAAGGACAGUUGUGAGCUGUGUGUUGCAGAAUGCCACCUCACAACAAGCCCAGAACAGCACUCAGCAGACAGGAACAUCUUGAGGUGGAACCACUCAGAACUAGGAGUGCAAGCCAAUGGUUAUCACAGGCAGCUGAAGUCACCUAGCUGAUCUUUAUGGGGGUGCCUCAGAUGUCACAACAAGAGGAGGCCGGUGUCAGCCACCCCAAAGCACCACCAGCCUUAGCAAGCUCAGGGAAGUAAGCACGAGGUUUUACAGCUUCACCUAAGGACACAGCAGCAGCAGGAGGAGGAUGAGCGCGGCUUGGGUGAGGAAGGCAGGCACCUUGCUGUUCCAAGGCUAUGUUGGGAUACUGGUGGGCAGAUCCCACCAGAGCUCUGCAAGGAUGCUCCCAGACCUUCGCAGCACUAAAACCUAAUGCAUGGCAAGAAACAACACCCUUCCCACGAGCUACCACCACAGAUUUUGUUCAGCAUCCAGCUCAACAGCACCACAGCCCCAGUGGAGCAAGGCAAAGAAAGAUGACACUGAUGGUGUCAUCAGCAGCUGAGAGACGCAUCCCAGAACCCCACAGAGAGGAGAAGAGAGGAUGGAGAGGAGAAGAAGGG